rnacentral:pre_miRNA from 1 species
CCUUUAACUAUUAAAAGUUUCGUUUUGGUCCCUUAACUUAUUUUUUGGUUUCGUUUUGGUCCCUUAACUCUUCCUCCGUCAACCACUUUGGUCUUUAUGUUAGGAUGAAUGUAUUAGAGUUAAGGGACCGAAACGAAACCAAAAAAUAAGUUAAGGGACCAAAACGAAACCAAAAAAUAAGUUAGGGGCCAAAACGAAACUUUUAAUAGUUAAGAGACCAAAAGAAAACCCAAAAAUAAGUUAAGGGACCGAAACGAAACUUUUAAUAGUUAAGGAA